rnacentral:lncRNA from 1 species
GCGAGGAGGAGGCGAGAGCGGCCGCCGCUGGUGCUUAUUCUUUUUUAGUGCAGCGGGAGAGAGCGGGAGUGUGCGCCGCGCGAGAGUGGGAGGCGAAGGGGGCAGGCCAGGGAGAGGCGCAGGAGCCUUUGCAGCCACGCGCGCGCCUUCCCUGUCUUGUGUGCUUCGCGAGGUAGAGCGGGCGCGCGGCAGCGGCGGGGAUUACUUUGCUGCUAGUUUCGGUUCGCGGCAGCGGCGGGUGUAGUCUCGGCGGCAGCGGCGGAGACACUAGCACUAUGUCGGAGGAGCAGUUCGGCGGGGACGGGGCGGCGGCAGCGGCAACGGCGGCGGUAGGCGGCUCGGCGGGCGAGCAGGAGGGAGCCAUGGUGGCGGCGACACAGGGGGCAGCGGCGGCGGCGGGAAGCGGAGCCGGGACCGGGGGCGGAACCGCGUCUGGAGGCACCGAAGGGGGCAGCGCCGAGUCGGAGGGGGCGAAGAUUGACGCCAGUAAGAACGAGGAGGAUGAAGGCCAUUCAAACUCCUCCCCACGACACUCUGAAGCAGCGACGGCACAGCGGGAAGAAUGGUGGAAUCCAUAGAGCUCCCCAUGGACAACAAGACCAAUAAGAGGCGUGGGUUCUGCUUUAUUACCUUUAAGGAAGAAGAACCAGUGAAGAAGAUAAUGGAAAAGAAAUACCACAAUGUUGGUCUUAGUAAAUGUGAAAUAAAAGUAGCCAUGUCGAAGGAACAAUAUCAGCAACAGCAACAGUGGGGAUCUAGAGGAGGAUUUGCAGGAAGAGCUCGUGGAAGAGGUGGUGACCAGCAGAGUGGUUAUGGGAAGGUAUCCAGGCGAGGUGGUCAUCAAAAUAGCUACAAACCAUACUAAAUUAUUCCAUUUGCAACUUAUCCCCAACAGGUGGUGAAGCAGUAUUUUCCAAUUUGAAGAUUCAUUUGAAGGUGGCUCCUGCCACCUGCUAAUAGCAGUUCAAACUAAAUUUUUUGUAUCAAGUCCCUGAAUGGAAGUAUGACGUUGGGUCCCUCUGAAGUUUAAUUCUGAGUUCUCAUUAAAAGAAAUUUGCUUUCAUUGUUUUAUUUCUUAAUUGCUAUGCUUCAGAAUCAAUUUGUGUUUUAUGCCCUUUCCCCCAGUAUUGUAGAGCAAGUCUUGUGUUAAAAGCCCAGUGUGACAGUGUCAUGAUGUAGUAGUGUCUUACUGGUUUUUUAAUAAAUCCUUUUGU